GAGAUUGUGCCAUCUGAAGCAAAGGAUUUUUCUUUUUAUCAAAUAUACCAGUUUAAAAGUGUUGAGUCGCCACAACCACACAACUGGUGUGGGCAGAUCUCAAGGCAUCUAGGUGGGCUUGGGUCGUAAACAGUGGUGGGAUGCUCCCGGUUCACAAUGGUUCUAUAGAACCGGUAGUAAAAGCGGCGGGAGGCUCCACCCACUGAUACUGACAUCACCAAAACGCUUCUGCACAUGUGCAGAAGAGCGCGCGGGCGGCCCCGCCACGAACCAGUAGUAAAGUGUGGAAAACUAUCCCUACGGCACGAGGAACUGGAGAGCUUCAACGGGUUUCCGAAGACUUUGACUGAGGCUUCCAGACGUAAUCCCGGAUCAUGGAAUAGACCACGCCUGGAAGACAAAAAAGAAAGAAAGAAAAAAAAAACACAAUAAGCAACUUUGGUGGGUGAAAAAAUGUGUUGAUGUAAUAACCACGAGAGGGAUCUUGGAGUCCUAGUGGACGAUCGCUUAAAGAUGAGCCAGCCGUGUGCGGCAGCAGCCACAAAGGCCAAUACGAUCCUAGGCUGAAUUAACAGACAGAUAGAAUCAAGAACACGAGAAGUGUUAGUACCAACUGAUAAAGCCUUAGUAAGACCCUAUGUGGAAUACUGCAUCCAGUUUUAUUAUAAAAUAAUAUAUGUUAUGUAAAAUAUAUAUUAUAUUAUAAAGUAUUACACUAUAAAAUAUUGCUAAAUAUUAUAUUGUAAAAUA